AUUGAACGCUGGCGGCAGGCCUAACACAUGCAAGUCGAACGAGUGGCGGACGGGUGAGUAAUGUCUGGGAAACUGCCUGAUGGAGGGGGAUAACUACUGGAAACGGUAGCUAAUACCGCAUACCAUCGGAUGUUCCCAGAUGGGAUUAGCUAGUAGGUGGGGUACAGGCUCACCUAGGGCACGAUCCCUAGCUGGUCUGAGAGGAUGACCAGCCACACGUGGACUGAGACACGGUCAAGACGCCUACGGGAGGCAGCAGGGGGGAAUAUUGCACAAGGGGCGCAAGCCUGAUGCAGCCAUGCCGCGUGUAUGAAGAAGGCCUUCGGGUUGUAAAGUACUUUCAGCGGGGAGGCGUUACCCGCAGAAGAAGCACAGGCUAACGCCGUGCCAGCAGCCGCGGUAAUUC
rnacentral:rRNA from 1 species